rnacentral:misc_RNA from 1 species
GAUGAAGAACGUAGCGAAAUGCGAUAAGUAAUGUGAAUUGCAGAAUUCAGUGAAUCAUCGAAUCUUUGAACGCAUCUUGCGCUCCUUGGUAUUCUGAGGAGCAUGCCUGUUUGAGUGUCAUUAAAUUCUCAACUACACUGACUUUGAAUUGGUGUGGCUUGUAUUUGGGGGGAAAAUUGUUGUGGGCUUUUUGUAUAGUCUUCUCCCCUGAAAUUGAUUAGCGGUACCUUUGUGGAACUGUCUACAGGUGUGAUAAUUAUCUACAUCUUAGACAUCUGCUGGAAUGCUGCUUUCUAAACCUUACUUGUAUUGACAAUCUUGACCUCAAAUCAGGUAGGACUACCCGCUGAACUUAAGCAUAUCAAUAAGCGGAGGA